rnacentral:tRNA from 1 species
GGGGGCAUAGCUCAGUGGUAGAGCAUUCGACUGCAGAUCGAGAGGUCACUGGUUCAAUCCCAGUUGUCCCCU